GAUUUUCAAAUUUAUUGGAGUCCCCUUUGUUCUUGAGUUUUGUUACCCAGAAACCUGGAAGAGUAAGUUAAGAAAAUCUGGAAAGAGAGACAAAUAAAACUUGUACCUAUCAGCAUUUUCUUGCUCAAUCCUUGUCUCGUUUUCUGUUCUUUCUCCUUCAAACGAGCCGUGAUAUUUGUUCUUGAGUUUUGUUUCCCAAAAUCCUGCAAGACUAAGUUAAAAAAAAUUCUGGAAAGCCUUGCUAUAAACCUGUUCGUCUUGUCAGGAAGGAUUUUCUUGCUCGAUCCUUGUCUCUUUUCGUGUUCUUUCUCCUUCAAACGAGCCGUGAUAUUUUUCGCUUUCUCAUCCCAGAGCCUGCAAAUGCGUUUCUCUCAAUCCAAAACCUUCCAAGAAACAAAUCAGUCCACUAAGUAGCACACACUUUGUGCACGAACUGACCAAAAAAACCUCACUCGACAUAAAGCCUGUGACCACGAGAAAACUUUUAACUUA
rnacentral:lncRNA from 1 species